GAAAUGCGAUAAGUAAUGUGAAUUGCAGAAUUCAGUGAAUCAUCGAAUCUUUGAACGCACCUUGCGCUCCUUGGUAUUCCUUGGAGCAUGCCUGUUUGAGUAUCAUGAAAUCUUCAAAGUAAAUCUUUUGUUAACUCAAUUGGUUUCUACUUUGGUAUUGGAGGUCUUUGCAGCUUCACACCUGCUCCUCUUUGUUCAUUAGCUGGAUCUCAGUGUUAUGCUUGGUUCCACUCGGCGUGAUAAGUUAUCUAUCGCUGAGGACACUGUAAAAGGUGGCCAAGGUAAAUGCAGAUGAACCGCUUCUAAUAGUCCAUUGACUUGGACAAUACUUUUAUGAUCUGAUCUCAAAUCACGUAGGACUACCCGCUGAACUUAAGC
rnacentral:misc_RNA from 1 species